rnacentral:rRNA from 1 species
UCGUAACCGGGCUGAAGUCGUACCGUAAGGAGCGGUGGACUGGUUACGAGUGAGAAUGUUGGCAUCAGUAGCGAGAUGUGGGUGAGAAUCCCACAGGCCGAAAACCUAAGGUUUCCUCAGGAAGGUUCGUCCGCUGAGGGUUAGUCGGGACCUAAGCCGAGGCCGAAAGGCGUAGGUGAUGGACAACUGGUUGAUAUUCCAGUACCACUACCAUCGUUAUUAUCGAUGGCGUGACGCAGGAGGAUAGUGUGUGCUAGCUAUUGGAUGCUAGUCUAAGCGUUUAGGCAGUGAGAGUAGGCAAAUCCGCUCUCAUAAUGCU